rnacentral:rRNA from 1 species
GGUUAAGCGACUAAGCGUACACGGUGGAUGCCCUGGCAGUCAGAGGCGAUGAAGGACGUGCUAAUCUGCGAUAAGCGCCGGUAAGGUGAUAUGAACCGUUAUAACCGGCGAUUUCCGAAUGGGGAAACCCAGUGUGACUCGUCACACUAUCAUUAACUGAAUCCAUAGGUUAAUGAGGCGAACCGGGGGAACUGAAACAUCUAAGUACCCCGAGGAAAAGAAAUCAACCGAGAUUCCCCCAGUAGCGGCGAGCGAACGGGGAGGAGCCCAGAGCCUGAAUCAGCAUGUGUGUUAGUGGAAGCGUCUGGAAAGGCGCGCGAUACAGGGUGACAGCCCCGUACACAAAAGCGCAUGUGCUGUGAGCUCGAUGAGUAGGGCGGGACACGUGGUAUCCUGUCUGAAUAUGGGGGGACCAUCCUCCAAGGCUAAAUACUCCUGACUGACCGAUAGUGAACCAGUACCGUGAGGGAAAGGCGAAAAGAACCCCGGCGAGGGGAGUGAAAAAGAACCUGAAACCGUGUACGUACAAGCAGUGGGAGCACCCUUUGGGGUGUGACUGCGUACCUUUUGUAUAAUGGGUCAGCGACUUAUAUUCUGUAGCAAGGUUAACCGAAUAGGGGAGCCGGAGGGAAACCGAGUCUUAAUUGGGCGUUAAGUUGCAGGGUAUAGACCCGAAACCCGGUGAUCUAGCCAUGGGCAGGUUGAAGGUUGGGUAACACUAACUGGAGGACCGAACCGACUAAUGUUGAAAAAUUAGCGGAUGACCUGUGGCUGGGGGUGAAAGGCCAAUCAAACCGGGAGAUAGCUGGUUCUCCCCGAAAGCUAUUUAGGUAGCGCCUCGUGAACUCAUCUCCGGGGGUAGAGCACUGUUUCGGCUAGGGGGCCAUCCCGGCUUACCAACCCGAUGCAAACUGCGAAUACCGGAGAAUGUUAUCACGGGAGACACACGGCGGGUGCUAACGUCCGUCGUGAAGAGGGAAACAACCCAGACCGCCAGCUAAGGUCCCAAAGUCAUGGUUAAGUGGGAAACGAUGUGGGAAGGCCCAGACAGCCAGGAUGUUGGCUUAGAAGCAGCCAUCAUUUAAAGAAAGCGUAAUAGCUCACUGGUCGAGUCGGCCUGCGCGGAAGAUGUAACGGGGCUAAACCAUGCACCGAAGCUGCGGCAGCGACGCUGAUGCGUUGUUGGGUAGGGGAGCGUUCUGUAAGCCUGUGAAGGUGGCCUGUGAGGGUUGCUGGAGGUAUCAGAAGUGCGAAUGCUGACAUAAGUAACGAUAAAGCGGGUGAAAAGCCCGCUCGCCGGAAGACCAAGGGUUCCUGUCCAACGUUAAUCGGGGCAGGGUGAGUCGACCCCUAAGGCGAGGCCGAAAGGCGUAGUCGAUGGGAAACGGGUUAAUAUUCCCGUACUUGGUGUUACUGCGAAGGGGGGACGGAGAAGGCUAUGUUGGCCGGGCGACGGUUGUCCCGGUUUAAGCGUGUAGGUGUGUGUUCCAGGUAAAUCCGGUUCACUUUAACACUGAGGCGUGAUGACGAGGCACUACGGUGCUGAAGCAACAAAUGCCCUGCUUCCAGGAAAAGCCUCUAAGCAUCAGGUAACAUCAAAUCGUACCCCAAACCGACACAGGUGGUCAGGUAGAGAAUACCAAGGCGCUUGAGAGAACUCGGGUGAAGGAACUAGGCAAAAUGGUGCCGUAACUUCGGGAGAAGGCACGCUGACACGUAGGUGAAGUGAUUUACUCAUGGAGCUGAAGUCAGUCGAAGAUACCAGCUGGCUGCAACUGUUUAUUAAAAACACAGCACUGUGCAAACACGAAAGUGGACGUAUACGGUGUGACGCCUGCCCGGUGCCGGAAGGUUAAUUGAUGGGGUCAGCGCAAGCGAAGCUCCUGAUCGAAGCCCCGGUAAACGGCGGCCGUAACUAUAACGGUCCUAAGGUAGCGAAAUUCCUUGUCGGGUAAGUUCCGACCUGCACGAAUGGCGUAAUGAUGGCCAGGCUGUCUCCACCCGAGACUCAGUGAAAUUGAACUCGCUGUGAAGAUGCAGUGUACCCGCGGCAAGACGGAAAGACCCCGUGAACCUUUACUAUAGCUUGACACUGAACAUUGAGCCUUGAUGUGUAGGAUAGGUGGGAGGCUUUGAAGUGUGGACGCCAGUCUGCAUGGAGCCGGCCUUGAAAUACCACCCUUUAAUGUUUGAUGUUCUAACGUGGACCCGUGAUCCGGGUUGCGGACAGUGUCUGGUGGGUAGUUUGACUGGGGCGGUCUCCUCCUAAAGAGUAACGGAGGAGCACGAAGGUUGGCUAAUCCUGGUCGGACAUCAGGAGGUUAGUGCAAUGGCAUAAGCCAGCUUGACUGCGAGCGUGACGGCGCGAGCAGGUGCGAAAGCAGGUCAUAGUGAUCCGGUGGUUCUGAAUGGAAGGGCCAUCGCUCAACGGAUAAAAGGUACUCCGGGGAUAACAGGCUGAUACCGCCCAAGAGUUCAUAUCGACGGCGGUGUUUGGCACCUCGAUGUCGGCUCAUCACAUCCUGGGGCUGAAGUAGGUCCCAAGGGUAUGGCUGUUCGCCAUUUAAAGUGGUACGCGAGCUGGGUUUAGAACGUCGUGAGACAGUUCGGUCCCUAUCUGCCGUGGGCGCUGGAGAACUGAGGGGGGCUGCUCCUAGUACGAGAGGACCGGAGUGGACGCAUCACUGGUGUUCGGGUUGUCAUGCCAAUGGCACUGCCCGGUAGCUAAAUGCGGAAGAGAUAAGUGCUGAAAGCAUCUAAGCACGAAACUUGCCCCGAGAUGAGUUCUCCCUGAGACUUAGAGUCUCCUGAAGGAACGUUGAAGACGACGACGUUGAUAGGCCGGGUGUGUAAGCGCAGCGAUGCGUUGAGCUAACCGGUACUAAUGAACCGUGAGGCUUAACCUU